CCUACGGGCGGCUGCAGUGGGGAAUAUUGCACAAUGGGCGCAAGCCUGAUGCAGCCAUGCCGCGUGUGUGAAGAAGGCCUUCGGGUUGUAAAGCACUUUCAGCGGGGAGGAAGGCGGUGAGGUUAAUAACCUCAUCGAUUGACGUUACCCGCAGAAGAAGCACCGGCUAACUCCGUGCCAGCAGCCGCGGUAAUACGGAGGGUGCAAGCGUUAAUCGGAAUUACUGGGCGUAAAGCGCACGCAGGCGGUCUGUCAAGCCGGAUGUGAAAUCCCCGGGCUCAACCUGGGAACUGCAUUCGAAACUGGCAGGCUAGAGUCUUGUAGAGGGGGGUAGAAUUCCAGGUGUAGCGGUGAAAUGCGUAGAGAUCUGGAGGAAUACUGGUGGCGAAGGCGGCCCCCUGGACAAAGACUGACGCUCAGGUGCGAAAGCGUGGGGAGCAAACAGGAUUAGAUACCCGUGUAGUC
rnacentral:rRNA from 1 species